GACUACAGUCCUGCCAGUCCAGUGUCCUGGCACACAGCUGUGAGGAUGCUCAGUUGGGCAUUUCCAUGUCCACCACUGAGGGGCACCUUAGUACCUUCUACAGUUUGACAAGAUACAAGAUACAAAAAAUCGCAAUAAAACAGGCAGCUGCUGCAGGUGCCGUCUCUGCCCCGACAAAAGCAAUGCUGUCUCGGGGCACGUGGACCACAGAACACAGGAUGCGAUGUUCCCAACAAGGAGACAACAACUAAAGUCCAGCAUCCUUUCAAGGCCAAGUCACCUGAAAAUAUCCAUACAUCUGCCUUGAUCUCCGAGUGGACCCCGACCACAAAUAUUCGCUCUGACCCCUAUGUGUGCCAGACACGCCCGACCUCUCUCCAGUGCCCUAUAAAGCUUCCUGCUUUUUCUUUGUUCCAGACUGACAGCCUCUUGCUUGCCAUCAGUCCACUGCUGCCUGGGUGAGUAAAGACUGUACCCCUUGC
rnacentral:lncRNA from 1 species